GGGCAGUUUGCUGUUGUAUUUUGACAGCAAACGGAAGACAAGUACGGACCAUCCUGUACUUUGACUUGAACGCGGUCCUCAUCUCCGUGCUUUCUAAUCGGUGUACAGCAGGCCACUGCCAGGGUUUUCUUUAAUGAGGCACCAGGGAAGUACUUUGGAUUUGUUUCUCCUCAUUGUUUGUACUUCUGUUAGAUAUCAUGUUUCAUCUUAUAACUGCUAGACUUUCUAGGUUAUAAGCCACCAAAAGAAAGUUGUGUGCUUAAUGGAGCAUUAUGGUUUUGCAACUUACAGGCGCUUUCUUUCACUGAUUUCAGACUUAAGCACAUCGCGCACAGUCACAAAAACCAAAAGAGUGAGCUGGUGUGUGUCCGUUUUGCCUAAAUCACGUGAGCUUUGUUGCUGUGGUUGAAGUUGGAGAAAAUCAGAAUGGCGCACCAUAAGGGCAAAGCAAGUAGGUCUAGGUGGCUGAAAAUAAGAUUUUAUGGCCUGACGCGUGGUGGGUUGGUUGACAGCGCUGGAGACCUUCUUUAAUUCGAGGGGGCCAUGGAGCAUGGAGAACAAUCAGAAAUUCCCAGAGCUGUCAGCUCUUUAUCACGUGAUGUCAGUGCUGAGCUGGACCACAUUUUCUGUCUCUGGUGCUACAGUUUUCUCCCCGAAGUUCCUUAAAUGUGACCAAACCUCUCCUCAACGCCACGGAAUGCAGAGCUUGGAGGGUCUGUUGGCGAGGAGAAAGGCGGCUUCCCUUUAGACCUCAUUCCAGACAGAUCGGGGAAGCAUUCGUGUAAAAUGUUACUUUUUUAAAUGUUAAUAAAAUCUGAUGGUCACGUCGCUCCA
rnacentral:lncRNA from 1 species